GACGAACGCUGGCGGCGUGCUUAACACAUGCAAGUCGAGCGGUAAGGCCCUUUCGGGGGUACACGAGCGGCGAACGGGUGAGUAACACGUGGGUGACCUGCCCUUAGCUCUGGGAUAAGCCUGGGAAACUGGGUCUAAUACCGGAUAUGACUCCAUGACGCACGUUGUGGGGUGGAAAGCCUUGUGCGGCUAGGGAUGGGCCUGCGGCCUAUCAGCUUGUUGGUGGGGUGAUGGCCUACCAAGGCGACGACGGGUAGCCGGCCUGAGAGGGCGACCGGCCACACUGGGACUGAGACACGGCCCAGACUCCUACGGGAGGCAGCAGUGGGGAAUCUUGCGCAAUGGGCGAAAGCCUGACGCAGCGACGCCGCGUGGGGAUGACGGCCU
rnacentral:rRNA from 1 species